AUCUUGUGUGAAUCUCCCAAACCAUGUGACCUAAGGACAUGUUUAUCAGAGCUCUGUUCCAGUCUACAACAUGCCAUAAUAAAGUACAGUGUCAUGAACUUAGGCUGCAUGCUGUACAGAAGAGGUGGCAUAUACAUAGAUGCUAGUAGGAAAACACCUUUGUUCCUGACUGCCAUAUUUCUCAUCAUGCCGAGAGAUCUCCGGUGCCAUCUGGGGAUAUGGGGCACUAUGCCCGUGCCACCGGUGAUAAAGCACCAUUAUCUCCCUGGAGCCUUGGCACAAUGAACGAGGAAGGCAGGGAGGCCAUCUUGAGGGAGAUCUCACUGAAACAGCUAAGAUGGCUGGACUGGCAUACGAGAGCACUCUUGGUGUGUUAACUGCAGCAAAGGACACUGAAAACCAUGAUGGAAUAUGGACUCUUUUCUCUUCAAGAAUAGAAUUAUAAUAUUUGUAUUAAGAAAAUGUGAUUUUUUUUGUCAUAUUGACAGUCAACUUCAUAUUUUUACACAAUCUAU